rnacentral:ribozyme from 2 species
GAGUUAACUCCGCCAUUGCCUGUCUAAAGCCAGGAUGCGAAAGGAGGAUAGGCUC